ensembl:lncRNA
GUUCAGUAGAAAAAAAUGAAGAUUGUUGUUAAUUGUGCGUUGCUUCUUUGUGACUUUAUCUAGAACACAGGUCGUGUCAGCAGGCUCUCAAUGUGUGAUGAUAACCAACCACAACAUCAGGAUCAGAGUGAAGGAGAAACCACUGAAAUCGUCUACGCGGCUGUUUACUUCCACAACAAAAGAAAGCCAAACGCGGAGCAGCAGAAGAACACCCAAAGUGAAGAUGUCAUUUACAGCACAGUUUGCAGACCAGUUUGUGCAGCUUUGAACCACCCACAGAACCGACAGGAGGCAGCUGGCCCAAUAUAUGCCUCGCCUAAAAGAAAGCAGCCUCCAUAUACUGAAGAGGGAGCCUGUUUGUUAAAGGGGUCAAAGUUCUAGUGACUUCACACUGGGUGAACUUGUGAGGAGAGGAACAGUGACCUGCCCACUCUCCCAUACUGCCCAUUCAUGUCCCAAGAUUUGAUGUUGGGGUUCGAGAUCUUCUGCUUGAUUCCAGCUCCAGGUUGAAUUCUUUGUCAUUCUAUAUUAUUUAUUAUUUUAGUAUGUUGUGAGUACUGUAUUUUAUUUAUGCAUUCCCCCCAUUUUUCACUAUUGUUAAUGCUCGGCAUUCUCUUGUGUUAGCAUUAACUUCGGUGUUUGUCUUGUUUGUUCUCUUUUCUGUUUUACUGGUUUUACUGCUUCCUAUCUGUCCUCACCUGAUUUCCUGUUGUGUAAUCCCUAAUCAGCCCUUGGUGUGUAUGUAUAUUCCUUUGCUGUGUUGUGUCGGUCUUGUUCAGUUACGUUCCUGAUGGUACGCUGUACUGUUCUAGUCUCCUUUGUGCCUUUUGGAUUUUGCUAUUUGGAGUUUGUAUUGGAUUUAUUUCCUCCAUUAAAGCUCACUUUCUGUUGAA